rnacentral:rRNA from 1 species
GACGAACGCUGGCGGCGUGCCUAAUACAUGCAAGUAGAACGCUGAAGGAGGAGCUUGCUUCUCUGGAUGAGUUGCGAACGGGUGAGUAACGCGUAGGUAACCUGCCUGGUAGCGGGGGAUAACUAUUGGAAACGAUAGCUAAUACCGCAUAAGAGUAGAUGUCGCAUGACAUUUGCUUAAAAGGUGCGAUUGCAUCACUACCAGAUGGACCUGCGUUGUAUUAGCUAGUUGGUGAGGUAACGGCUCACCAAGGCAACGAUACAUAGCCGACCUGAGAGGGGGAUCGGCCACACUGGGACUGGGACACGGCCCAGACUCCUACGGGAGGCAGCAGUAGGGAAUCUUCGGCAAUGGACGGAAGUCUGACCGAGCAACGCCGCGUGAGUGAAGAAGGUUUUCGGAUCGUAAAGCUCUGUUGUAAGAGAAGAACGAGUGUGAGAGUGGAAAGUUCACACUGUGACGGUAUCUUACCAGAAAGGGACGGCUAACUACGUG